rnacentral:rRNA from 1 species
GACGUAGGAUCCGAGCGUUGUCCGGAGUUACUGGGCGUAAAGCGCGCGCAGGCGGACCGAUACAUCGGCGGUGAAAGCCCCCGCUCAACGGGGGAGGGUCCGUCGAGAUGGUCGGUCUGGAGGCAGGGAGAGGCCAGUGGAAUUCCGGGUGUAGUGGUGAAAUGCGUAGAGAUCCGGAGGAACACCAGUGGCGAAGGCGGCUGGCUGGACCUGACCUGACGCGUG